rnacentral:rRNA from 1 species
AAUAUUGCACAAUUGGGGAAACUCUGAUGCAGCGACGCCGCGUGAGCGAAGAAGGACUNCGGGUCNUNAAGCUCUGUCCUAAGGGNGGAAACGGACGGGACCUUAUGAGGCAGCCCCGGCUAACUACGUGCCAGCAGCCGCGGGAAUACGUAGGGGGAGAGCGUUAUCCGGAAUUACUGGGCGUAAAGGGUGCGUAGGCGGCCUUUUAAAUCAGAUGUGAAAAUCUACGGCUUAAACGUAGUUAGCAUUUGAAACUAAAAGGCUUGAGUGCAGGAGAGGAGAUUGGAAUUCCUAGUGUAGCGGUGAAAUGCGUAGAUAUUAGGAGGAACACCAGUGGCGAAGACGACUCUCUGGACUGCAACUGACGCUGUGGCACGAAAGCGUGGGGAGCGAAC